rnacentral:rRNA from 1 species
GACGAACGCUGGCGGCGUGCUUAACACAUGCAAGUCGAACGGUAAGGCCCUUCGGGGUACACGAGUGGCGAACGGGUGAGUAACACGUGGGUGAUCUGCCCUGCACUUCGGGAUAAGCCUGGGAAGCUGGGGCUAAUACCGGAUAGGACCACUGCCUGCAUGGGUGGGGGUGGAAAGCUUUUGCGGUGUGGGAUGGGCCCGCGGCCUAUCAGCUUGUUGGUGGGGUGAUGGCCUACCAAGGCGACGACGGGUAGCCGGCCUGAGAGGGUGACCGGCCACACUGGGACUGAGAUACGGCCCAGACUCCUACGGGAGGCAGCAGUGGGGAAUAUUGCACAAUGGGCGCAAGCCUGAUGCAGCGACGCCGCGUGAGGGAUGACGGCCUUCGGGUUGUAAACCUCUUUCAGCACCGACGAAGCGCAAGUGACGGUAGGUGCAGAAGAAGGACCGGCCAACUACGUGCCAGCAGCCGCCGUAA